UUUUUGAGAUAAAAGAUUAAGAAAUAUAUUGAGUGUAAGCACUAAAGGAGUGUCGCCCGUAUAAAAAAAAUUUACAAAUUUAAGAGCAUAUCUACAAUAAUAUCAAAAUUAUCAAGGUUACAAAGGUGACGUCCUAGUAAAGCAGACCCAAAAAAGUGAAAUCAUUUGUCCUUGAUGUUUCCAAAAUUAUCCUCUUUGCCUUAAAAAGCACAGUUGUUUCUUUCUUUUCAUAAAGAUGCAGAAUAUUGUAAGAGGAAUAAGUCGAUAAUUCUUGUUUCGUUUGCAUACAAAUUCCCAAACUUUUAAUUCACCUUGUUUAGUGCCCGCAGUACUCCAGCAGGUGCCAAGUAACCCCAAUACCAUGAAAAAAAAUACUGUUUUAUGAAAAGAGAAAAAAUGAAACAACUGAAAACUUGAUAACGAAAUAAAGUAUUUUUUUUUUUUUAAAUUUAACUUCCACAAACAGAUUUCUAAAAUUUAAAGCAAAAAGCACAAUUGAUUUCAUUUUCAAAAAUUAAAAUGAAUAUGAGAAAACAUUUUAUGCAUCAAAUGCAGCCCUAUUUCCACCAGGAAAUUCAAAUUCCUAAAUGAAGUACCUAAAUUGGAAGUUCUGAGGAAACCAGAAAACAUUCUAAAACUAAAAUCCCAUGAUUAGCAGUUCUUUCCACCAAGGUUUCAAGUAACUUAUCCCUUAUCCCUGUCUUUCCCACUCACAGGGAAAACCAACGACACAGUUAAGUUGUAACACCCAGUGAUUGAUUAGCAGUUCAGACAGAUAAAAACAAAAGCCAAUAUAGGAAAAGAAAUUAAUUACAUCAACCGAAUUUUUUAGUCAGCAUAAUUUAAUCUCAAGUCUAUCAAAAAGCCACAACCAGAGUAAAGAAAUGCUAAAUAGAUGGUAAGGAUGAUUCUCCAUUAUUUUUGCCUAAAAUAGC
rnacentral:lncRNA from 1 species